AUAAUACUAGUUAUAUUGUAUCGAACUCAACCAACCAGCCUAGCCUUAACUCAAUUCAAUCUAAUUCAUGAUGCCAAUUGAAUAAAUGAUAUCCCUAUUUCGAUAACUUUACGACUCAAUAAACCUCUAAACCCUCGAAUACUAUUCAUUCAACCCGACAUCCAUGAACCAACCGGUUCGACACAUCAAACCCCAGGAAGCGUGCUAAAAAAAAGGAAGGCAAAAAGCAACUCAAAAACAUUUUUACAAAACUCCUUCUCCCUCCCUAUCAUUAUUUAUCCCCAUCAUCUCCUUCCUCUGCUUCCUUCAUUCAUUCAUCAUCUCCCAACUUUGCCCCUCUGUUUCCAUUGCAUCUGCUCUCUCUGAACUUGUUGCUAUCUCGUUGCAUCUUUCAUUUCGUCGACGUUUUCCAGAACUGCAAAAGAAGGUAGGCAUAGGUUAGCUUGGAAGUGAUUUUUUUGUAUUAAUGCUUACAAGGUGUUCGACGUAUUGCUUGCGUAGGUGUUAUGUAAUAUGGUUAGUUGAGAAAUUUCGCUUACAUUUCUCUUCUUUCUUCAACCCACUCUUUCCUUUUGUAUUUUUGAUGCAGUGGCAGUCAAAGGCUAUGGAGGGUGGUUGU
rnacentral:lncRNA from 1 species